rnacentral:sRNA from 1 species
AAUCACCAAAAAGUUAUUACAAAUAAAAGUAAAUUUCCUUCUUAUUCCUCACAGGCAUUAUCUAGUUCCUUCCCCCUGAAACAACUAGCAAUAUCAGUUUUCUCUGUAUCCAUAUCGAUGGUAACGUUUUAAAUCCAGGUUGGAGUGCACUGAGAUCAUGGCUCACUGCAGCCUUGAACUCCUGGGCUCCAGUGAUCCUCCUGCCUCAGCCUCCCAAGCAGCUAGGACUACAGGCAUGCACCACUGUACCCAUGCCCAGAUCCGUUUUUCACCCUACCUGGCAAUCUCAAAAGAAGCCCAAAGUUGAUCACAUGCAUGUGCCCCAGAUGAAGGAAACCGAAUCUAUUCACAUAGAGUGCAGUAUUACCGUUGCCAUUUCAUUAUGGCUCUAAAAAACUUUGUUCUUCAUGACUUCGCAAGCUCUUGCAACCCCUUCCAAUAAACAUUCUUUU